ensembl:snRNA U1 U1 spliceosomal RNA
AUACUUAGCAGGCCGGGGAGAUACAAUGAUCAUGAAGGUGGUUUUCCCAGGCUUAUCUAUUGCACUCUGGAUGUGCUCACCCCUACAGUUUCCCCAAAUGUGGGGAACUCAGCUGCACAAUUUAUGGUAGUGGGGGACUGCAUUCAUGCUCUCUUCUG